CCGUGAGCGGCCGGGGACCGACGGGCUGCCCCGGGGAACCGGAGUCCCGGGCUCACAGCUGCCCGUUCCGCGAGGACGCGCGGGGAAGCCGAGGGCGGCGGGGACCGCGCCGUUCUUUGUCUGCGCCGGCUGCUCCCCACGCCCCUCGGGGCCAGUCGCCCCGCGGUCCCCGCAGCCAGCGCUUGCUUGUGGCCCCGAACCCCGACGGUGCCCCGCGAGCGCGAGCCCUUUCCAGCCAGGCCUCGCGGUCCCGCCACUGCCCCCGCCCGGGUCCUUAAUUGCAGCCAGGCUGAAAGGGAGAUUGGGUGACAGUGGGAUUGCCACCUGGAGUGGUGCGGGGCCAGAUCGUCGGGCUUCUCCGCCGUGGGGAUUGUGUUGAGGGGACCCGACAGGCGAGCUUCGCCGGACUCUGCCUUUAUGCGUUGCUACCGGAUUCCUAGGACGGAGAUGGGGGCAGUAAAUUUUAGGACUGCGGGCAAGUGAAAGGAUCCAGAAGCACGUUUUUUAACCGAGCACCGCUGGCAGGAGCCCUGAGGCGCCCAGAGAAUGGAGAACAGGGCUGCCAGGUUCUAAUGCGUUUCUCCAGUCUCAGCACCAAGCCUUGCUUGUAAAGAAUCCAGGAAACGAGAAGAGAGGGAGAGUAGACUGUUGGGGAAGGAACCUGUUUCGCUACAUUGGUUCAGCAGAAAUGAAGAGGCGUCCUUACAUGUUGAAGGUGAUGUAAACCCAGGAAUCCCUAGAUAACAGAGCAUCCAGCCCACCCAGCACUUUAAUACUUCUGCUCACUUCAGCAGUCCUUAGAUUUCCUCUUUGGUGAGCAUGUGGGGCGUGGAACAGGAGAUAAAGCUUUGGUCCCAGGUGGGAAGGAUGAUAGGGCGGUGCUACUCAAACUGGCUUUGCAGAUCAGGUCACACACACUAGUGCUGGCCCAGAGAUAUGUAGAGAAUGGGGUGUUAGAAACUUUCAUGUUAACUCCCAAGUGGUGUUCUGUGUUUAUAGUAAUUCAUCUUAAUUAUAUGGUAUGAAAGUGUCUGUCAGUGACAGAGCACACAAACUUCACAAGGCAUGAGGAUGUACAUACGUAAAGCUGUGACCCAUCCCAAAAUCUCUAGACCCUCAGUAGAAGAAUGAACUAGAAAAAGCAUGGUUUUCUGCAUUGAUCUUGAUCUCCACAGAGAGUAGAGACUCUAAGGAACUGUCUCCCUCACAUUUAAAACAAUAGUUUAAGAAGUUCUGGCUCCCAUCACACUUUCAUUUCACUGGAAAGGUCUUAAGCCAAGAAUUUGUUUCCUGUGUUUAAAGGGCCCCUGCAUACCUUAAAGUGUCCCUACCCAACUUGCAGAAAUGAGUCCAAAGCAUUUACAGGAAGGGAAAGAGCAGAAACUCCAGGACAGGCUUCAACACCUGUUCACAAUAAUAAUAAUAAUAAUAAUAAUAAUAAUAAUAAAAAAAGCCACUGAGAGCAAGACCCAAUGAAUGAUUACAAGCAGUAGACAACCAGAACCAGGCCAACAAAGGCCUCUGGUAUUGGCAUUAUCAGCUAUCGAUAUAAGGUAAUAAAGUUAGAAAAAAUUAAGUAACAUUUUAAAAAACAGAACUAAGAACAUAGGGACCAUCUGGAAUGACCAGGUAGUCUCAAAGUGAAAAAAAAAAAAAUACAGUAAGUAAAAAUUUCACUCUUAAGGACAAGGGCAUCUGCCUCUAUGGGCUACUAACUGGCUCUUCAUAUAAAGCAACUAGAUCCAGCAUAAAAUGUAAUUUUAUAGGAUCACUAGGUUUAAAGAAUGUAAAGAAGACCUGAGUUUUAAACAGAAAGAAAACUCCUCAUUGUGCACUUUGCAGGACCCUAAGCAAAAUGUGUCAUUCUGUGUUCUGAGUCUGGGAAGCCAGUUCCUUUAAGUCAUUGCUGUAUUUACUGGAACCACGUGAGAGAAAGCCCAAAGAGCGUAUACACGAGGACUUUCUAAAUAUGUGGAAAGUCAGUACCAGGCAGCCGGCCCUGCUGGCACAUCAGAAGAGGACAGUAAGCUUUUCAAUACAUGUGCCAAGGCUAUGGGUUAUCUACAGAAAACAGUAAAAUCACACCUGUGUUUUCCCACAGGUCUGUGUUCAUAAACUUCUUACAUAUCUCAGAGAACCUAGAAACAGGUUCACAUGACAAUACACUUCGGUCAAAUUGGAGAAAUAAGUAAGACAUUUUGAUAGCAACUACCCCUCUCUGUCUUUUCUUAACUCCUUCAUCACAUUUAUUUUAUUUAUUUUUUUAUUAAGCUGACUGUCACGAGAUCUUUUUUGGGUGUAACUAAAUAGAAGUUGACUUGGAGAAUAAUCAUGUUUUAGUUUAGUGGAUAUUUGGGCGGUUUGCAUUAAAUUUGUGGUUGCUUACACUGUUAACAAAUGACUUCAAGGAAGGCUCUUGAUGUCCACUGUUGACCUAACUGAAGUCUCGACAUGUAGGGUCAGAUGAGGGUUACAGUGUUGGAAUGGAUCUUUCGAGCCUAGCUCCAGGAGUAUGCGGACUGUGGAGGAGGCGACUAGGUAGGAAGUUCUGCACCAAAGCUAAUCAGCCGGAAGUAGUUCACCUUUCCUUUUGACACUUCCAAAUGUGGUUCAGCAUUAUGACAAAUCCGUAUAACUCUGCCAUUUUGAGGAUGGUACAGUAGGAACCAGGAUAACCUAAGCACAUAGGGAGUUCCAAGCAGGCCUGGCUUAUGGCAGUUGUCUCAAGACAAUGACAACAAAGCUAUGCCAAGGUGUUCUCUGUCAGGAAAACAUGAAAUCAUCUGUUUUUAUUAAGUUACAGAUACCUUGUAUUUUUAUAUAUAAUCUGAAAUGUGUAAUUUAACUCAAAUAGAACAGCUGUAUAGCAGAAGUCCCUACUAUCUAUCAUUCAACUGGCAUAGGUAAUAUUCUAUAAGUGGAGUCUCCUGUUUCAUGACCUCAAAUCUUAUGGGUCACAUAAACAGUGCCCCUGACUCACAUUUUUCUGAUAGUUACAGAAAAUGGCUCACAAAACCGAUAAUAAUGUAAGAAAAAUUAAAGAAAAAGUAUUCAGAUGACAAAUUUUCCAACAUGCUCCUUGGUAGGACGGGUGCAAUAUUAGCUUGUAUCAUUUUGUGAUUUCUAUUUGACUAGGAAACAAUGACUUUUCUAAACACUUCAUAUAAUCAAAAUCAUUAACCUUUUUAGGUUUGUGUUUAGCUUCUUUUGCUUAGCACAGCAUUUUGAAGUUCAUUUAUGUUGUAGAGAAUGUCAGUAAUUAGUUUGGGAGUUUUAGUUUGUUUUCUGGUGCUAGAGGUAAAACAUGGGGCCUCACAGAUCCUGUGAGCGUAUGUGCAAGUGUCUGAGCACUGAGCCACAUCCCAAGGUCAGGUUUAUUUUAUUGCUAAAGUAGUAUCUUAAUGUAUGGUGUAUCAUUCAUGGCUUGUUGUGACGGACACUGUAAGGAAUAUUUCCUUUAAACAAAAUAUACAAAGUUAGUAAUCAAGACCAUCAAAACUAUGAUGAGCUUAGCCUGUGUUUUAUGUUCCCCGCAUCCUCGUAGUACACAGUAUGGAAGCGCCUGUGAUCUCUCCUCAUAAUGGUGGCACAGUAAUGUGGUUAGUGGGCAGCCUUAUAACUACAGGAAAUGCCUCAGCCUAAGCCCAAUUCUCAGCCUGUGAAGAACUUGUGUAGAACAUUAUGAAGUUAGUGAGGAUGAAGAGCUGCUCAGAAGAACUCCUCUCACAAAGGUAAUGUUUCGCUUAAAAAGCAAGCUCAAGAUAAGAAAAUAGACACUUCAAACUUAAACAAUAACUACUUGUUAUUUAAGCACUCACAGGUAGACAGUGGAAUAAGAAAAAAGUAUGAGAAUGACAAUUACUUGUAGGAAGGAGAAAGAUAUUUUUAAUAUUUUAUUUAAGUAUAUACUGUAGCAAUAUAUGUUUUAAAUAGGUUAGAUGGGUAGGUCUGCUGGUAUUUGUUGUUAUAUGUUGUUUUGUAUAUUGUAUAUUAUACAUGUAAUGCUUCUAAUAUAUUUUCAUACACAUACACUAUUUCAUAAUAGUAAAUUAUUAUAAUUAAUUAACCCUCAAAUUGUGUAAAAAAGAAUUCUAUUUCCUCUUAAAUGUUAAUUGUAUGUUAAAACUAUUAGUGAACAUGUCUGAAAUACUAAACUAUAGUUAAACUAUGGAAUGAAAGCUGAAACGGAAAGUAUGUGACAUUGUCUCUAACAUUUUUCUUUUCAAAUAAGUUGAAUUUUCUCAAGGAAGAUUGGUGAAAUUUUAAAGCUGCCUUAAAAUUCUUUUAGAGAUAUUUAAUAUUUCUAAAUUGUUUGAUUGGUGAAAAUUUAAAGCUACCUUCAAAUUCUUUUAGAGAUAUCUAAUACCUCUAAAUUAUUUUCUUUUACUGUUCAAUUAACUUGAGCUCCUUUGGAAUUCUCACAGACAUCAUUGCCAGGUAACUUUUUCAAUUCUGUACAGUCUUAUUUGUAAAUCAGAACUGACAAAACUUU